CUGGUGAGCUCGUGUGGCGUGUGGAUGUGAUGUUCCAGGGAAGCUGCAGUGCCCAAGAUUCUGAGCGAGCCCGACUUCAACUCUUGUGUUGACCCACGGACUUCGCUAGUCAGUGUCAGUUGACAAGCGAUCGCUCGUGCAUCUCAACUAUUUGAAGUUGAAAUUAACGCAAUUCUCUUUCAUCAGUUUGUGUCAAUGCCAUCUUGGUGAUUUUUGUGGUCGACUUGAACUAAACUUUCAGCUCUUAAACCAUUUUUCCUCAAUCAUAAAUUACAGGCGAAAAUUAUUCUCACAAAAUUUAAUUUUUUUGGUCAGAAUCAACACCUAAUAAUUUUUUUAUCGGAAAAAAGACACAUUUUGUUGGUAAAGAAGAGAAGAAGCGAGCAUCAUGAACCGAGCUCGCUCCGUAUCACAUCUACUGGCACGUCUGCCGCCAGCCAUCACCACCAAUUCCCCCGCCCUCCUGCAGUCACAUGUACCUGGUGCUCGGCUGAAGUCGUCGGCGCCUCCUCCUCCUCCAGCGAACACGGCUCUGGCGGCCGAGCCUUUCCUUAAUGGCUCGUCUUCGGCUUACGUCGAGGAGAUGUACCGAUGCUGGAUGCAGGACCCAUCGUCGGUA